AAGACAAAAGUAAACCAUACUUUCAGUUUCGACCUGAACAUAGGCGUAAGCCUUGUCUCA
rnacentral:tRNA from 1 species